GUGUCCUGUUUGCAUUUUCAGCCAACCUAUCACCAAAAAUGAAUGUUAAUUACUCUUUAAGUGUUUCCCACGACGAAGUUAAAAUGUUUGUUUGAUGUCAUACGUUAUAAUCGUGUUAGUAACGUUUCUGGCUUCGUAGCCCGCGCCGCAACGCGCGCGGGUGUAAUUUCUAGUUCAUACUAAAUUAAAACAACCAUCAUCCUCCUCCUGUAACAACCAUCACCAUUAUCUCAGGCAACAACCAUCACCAUCAUCUCAAGCAACAUCCAUUAGCACCAUCCCUGGCAACCAGCACCACCACCAUCUUCGAAAACCAUCACAUGUAUUCUUUAGUUCAACCACCACCACCAUAGCCGCCAUCCGCCACAUGUACAAACCCCGACAACCAUCACAAUCCACCACCUGAAAGCCUCUGACUACCACCAUCUCUCUAUCUCCGUAGUUUCCGGCCCCUCCGAUUGCGAUGGGGCCGGAUUUUGGAUCUGGAAAAAACCCCUCACAACCUUGAAAAACUUUCAGAUCUGAAACCCUAGAACAUAACAAAACCCCCCUCACAGCAUGGUGGUUCUUCGCAGACCUGAAACGCAAUGGUGGCGGUUAGGGUUUCGGGUUUAAAGGCAGCAGCGGUGGUGGAGUUUAUAUGGGUGACAAGCAUGUGGCAAGGGAUAUGGUUUGUCACGGUGGUUCCGGCGGUCGGUCAGCAGUGGGUAAGGGUAAUGGCAGGGGUUUUCUAGACUGAGAGAGAGGAUAAGAGUGGAGGGGGUUUGUCAUCGUUUUGUAACAACGUAAUAAAGGUGGAGUUGUAGAGGGAUGGGUCAACCGGCCGACAGUGAGUGACGGAGCUGGCCACUGGCCGAUGAUUGGUGAAAAGGUUUUGUGGCCGUUCUGUGUUUUGGUUUGUGGUUGAAAACUUGAAAUAUGUGGCUGGGUUUUUGUUUAUUGUUAUGAGAUUUGUGAAUUGUUGGUGGAGAUGAGUUGCAGCUGUAUAAAUGUUUAAUGUUUCAUAUAUAGUUGUUUAAUGUUUAAUUUUU
rnacentral:lncRNA from 1 species